GGGUUGUGAGGUUAAGCGACUAAGCGUACACGGUGGAUGCCCUGGCAGUCAGAGGCGAUGAAGGACGUGCUAAUCUGCGAAAAGCGUCGGUAAGGUGAUAUGAACCGUUAUAACCGGCGAUGUCCGAAUGGGGAAACCCAGUGUGAUUCGUCACACUAUCGUUAACUGAAUACAUAGGUUAACGAGGCGAACCGGGGGAACUGAAACAUCUAAGUACCCCGAGGAAAAGAAAUCAACCGAGAUUCCCCCAGUAGCGGCGAGCGAACGGGGAGCAGCCCAGAGUCUGAAUCAGCUUGUGUGUUAGUGGAACGGUCUGGAAAGUCCGACGGUACAGGGUGAUAGUCCCGUACACCAAAAUGCACAGGCUGUGAACUCGAAGAGUAGGGCGGGACACGUGGUAUCCUGUCUGAAUAUGGGGGGACCAUCCUCCAAGGCUAAAUACUCCUGACUGACCGAUAGUGAACCAGUACCGUGAGGGAAAGGCGAAAAGAACCCCGGCGAGGGGAGUGAAAAAGAACCUGAAACCGUGUACGUACAAGCAGUGGGAGCACCUUCGGGUGUGACUGCGUACCUUUUGUAUAAUGGGUCAGCGACUUAUAUUCUGUAGCAAGGUUAACCGUAUAGGGGAGCCGCAGGGAAACCGAGUCUUAACUGGGCGUUAAGUUGCAGGGUAUAGACCCGAAACCCGGUGAUCUAGCCAUGGGCAGGUUGAAGGUUGGGUAACACUAACUGGAGGACCGAACCGACUAAUGUUGAAAAAUUAGCGGAUGACUUGUGGCUGGGGGUGAAAGGCCAAUCAAACCGGGAGAUAGCUGGUUCUCCCCGAAAGCUAUUUAGGUAGCGCCUCGUGAAUUCAUCUUCGGGGGUAGAGCACUGUUUCGGCUAGGGGGUCAUCCCGACUUACCAACCCGAUGCAAACUACGAAUACCGAAGAAUGUUAUCACGGGAGACACACGGCGGGUGCUAACGUCCGUCGUGAAGAGGGAAACAACCCAGACCGCCAGCUAAGGUCCCAAAGUCAUGGUUAAGUGGGAAACGAUGUGGGAAGGCACAGACAGCCAGGAUGUUGGCUUAGAAGCAGCCAUCAUUUAAAGAAAGCGUAAUAGCUCACUGGUCGAGUCGGCCUGCGCGGAAGAUGUAACGGGGCUAAACCAUGCACCGAAGCUGCGGCAGCGACACUAUGUGUUGUUGGGUAGGGGAGCGUUCUGUAAGCCUGCGAAGGUGACCUGUGAGGGUUGCUGGAGGUAUCAGAAGUGCGAAUGCUGACAUAAGUAACGAUAAAGCGGGUGAAAAGCCCGCUCGCCGGAAGACCAAGGGUUCCUGUCCAACGUUAAUCGGGGCAGGGUGAGUCGACCCCUAAGGCGAGGCCGAAAGGCGUAGUCGAUGGGAAACAGGUUAAUAUUCCUGUACUUGGUGUUACUGCGAAGGGGGGACGGAGAAGGCUAUGUUAGCCGGGCGACGGUUGUCCCGGUUUAAGCAUGUAGGCUGGUUGUCCAGGCAAAUCCGGAUAAUCAAGGCUGAGGUGUGAUGACGAGGCACUACGGUGCUGAAGUAACAAAUGCCCUGCUUCCAGGAAAAGCCUCUAAGCAUCAGGUAACAUCAAAUCGUACCCCAAACCGACACAGGUGGUCAGGUAGAGAAUACCAAGGCGCUUGAGAGAACUCGGGUGAAGGAACUAGGCAAAAUGGUGCCGUAACUUCGGGAGAAGGCACGCUGGUGUGUAGGUGAAGUCCCUGCGGAUGGAGCUGAGACCAGUCGAAGAUACCAGCUGGCUGCAACUGUUUAUUAAAAACACAGCACUGUGCAAACACGAAAGUGGACGUAUACGGUGUGACGCCUGCCCGGUGCCGGAAGGUUAAUUGAUGGGGUUAUCCGUAAGGAGAAGCUCUUGAUCGAAGCCCCGGUAAACGGCGGCCGUAACUAUAACGGUCCUAAGGUAGCGAAAUUCCUUGUCGGGUAAGUUCCGACCUGCACGAAUGGCGUAAUGAUGGCCAGGCUGUCUCCACCCGAGACUCAGUGAAAUUGAACUCGCUGUGAAGAUGCAGUGUACCCGCGGCAAGACGGAAAGACCCCGUGAACCUUUACUAUAGCUUGACACUGAACAUUGAGCCUUGAUGUGUAGGAUAGGUGGGAGGCUUUGAAGCGUGGACGCCAGUCUGCGUGGAGCCAACCUUGAAAUACCACCCUUUAAUGUUUGAUGUUCUAACGUUGGCCCCUUAUCGGGGUUGCGGACAGUGUCUGGUGGGUAGUUUGACUGGGGCGGUCUCCUCCCAAAGCGUAACGGAGGAGCACGAAGGUUAGCUAAUCCUGGUCGGACAUCAGGAGGUUAGUGCAAUGGCAUAAGCUAGCUUGACUGCGAGCGUGACGGCGCGAGCAGGUGCGAAAGCAGGUCAUAGUGAUCCGGUGGUUCUGAAUGGAAGGGCCAUCGCUCAACGGAUAAAAGGUACUCCGGGGAUAACAGGCUGAUACCGCCCAAGAGUUCAUAUCGACGGCGGUGUUUGGCACCUCGAUGUCGGCUCAUCACAUCCUGGGGCUGAAGUAGGUCCCAAGGGUAUGGCUGUUCGCCAUUUAAAGUGGUACGCGAGCUGGGUUUAGAACGUCGUGAGACAGUUCGGUCCCUAUCUGCCGUGGGCGCUGGAGAAUUGAGGGGGGCUGCUCCUAGUACGAGAGGACCGGAGUGGACGCAUCACUGGUGUUCGGGUUGUCAUGCCAAUGGCACUGCCCGGUAGCUAAAUGCGGAAGAGAUAAGUGCUGAAAGCAUCUAAGCACGAAACUUGCCCCGAGAUGAGUUCUCCCUGAGACUUUAAGUCUCCUGAAGGAACGUUGAAGACGACGACGUUGAUAGGCCGGGUGUGUAAGCGCAGCGAUGCGUUGAGCUAACCGGUACUAAUGAACCGUGAGGCUUAACCUUACAACGCCGAAG
rnacentral:rRNA from 1 species